ACAGUACAAACUGAUCAGACCAUUAACUUUGGUUAAGGAGUCGGGCCGUAACAUGGCAGUGGAAUUUAUUCAUCCACGGGACAGUA
rfam:Eubacterium sp. CAG:161 genomic scaffold, scf128